rnacentral:rRNA from 1 species
AACGAACGCUGGCGGCAGGCUUAACACAUGCAAGUCGAACGCCCCGCAAGGGGAGUGGCAGACGGGUGAGUAACGCGUGGGAAUCUACCGUACCCUACGGAAUAACGCAUGGAAACGUGUGCUAAUACCGUAUACGCCCUUCGGGGGAAAGAUUUAUCGGGGUAUGAUGAGCCCGCGUUGGAUUAGCUAGUUGGUGGGGUAAAGGCCUACCAAGGCGACGAUCCAUAGCUGGUCUGAGAGGAUGAUCAGCCACAUUGGGACUGAGACACGGCCCAAACUCCUACGGGAGGAAGCAGUGGGGAAUAUUGGACAAUGGGCGCAAGCCUGAUCCAGCCAUGCCGCGUGAGUGAUGAAGGUCUUAGGAUUGAAAAGCUCUUUCACCGAUGAAGAUAAUGACGGUAGUCGGAGAAGAAGCCCCGGCUAACUUCGUGCCAGCCGCCGCGGUAAGAC